rnacentral:rRNA from 1 species
AGCAGUAGGGAAGUCUUCCACAAUGGACGGCAAGUCUGAUGGAGCAACGCCGCGUGAGUGAAGAAGGUCUUCGGAUCGUAAAACUCUGUUGUUAGAGAAGAACACGAGUGAGAGUAACUGUUCAUUCGAUGACGGUAUCUAACCAGCAAGUCACGGCUAACUACGUGCCAG